UGGGGAAUAUUGGACAAUGGGCGCAAGCCUGAUCCAGCCAUGCCGCGUGUGUGAAGAAGGCCUUUUGGUUGUAAAGCACUUUAAGCGAGGAGGAGGCUACUUGGAUUAAUACUCUAAGAUAGUGGACGUUACUCGCAGAAUAAGCACCGGCUAACUCUGUGCCAGCAGCCGCGGUAAUACAGAGGGUGCGAGCGUUAAUCGGAUUUACUGGGCGUAAAGCGUGCGUAGGCGGCUUCUUAAGUCGGAUGUGAAAUCCCUGAGCUUAACUUAGGAAUUGCAUUCGAUACUGGGAAGCUAGAGUAUGGGAGAGGAUGGUGGAAUUCCAGGUGUAGCGGUGAAAUGCGUAGAGAUCUGGAGGAAUACCGAUGGCGAAGGCAGCCAUCUGGCCUAAUACUGACGCUGAGGUACGAAAGGAUGGGAAGCAAACAGG
rnacentral:rRNA from 1 species